ACAGGAGAGCUUGCUCUCUGGGUGGCGAGUGGCGGACGGGUGAGUAAUACGUAGGAAUCUGCCCAGUAGCGGGGGACAACUUAGGGAAACUUAAGCUAAUACCGCAUACGCACUACGGUGGAAAGCAGGGGAUCGCAAGACCUUGCACUAUUGGAUGAGCCUACGUCCGAUUAGCUAGUUGGUAGGGUAACGGCCUACCAAGGCGACGAUCGGUAGCUGGUCUGAGAGGACGACCAGCCACACUGGGACUGAGACACGGCCCAGACUCC
rnacentral:rRNA from 1 species